UACGUAGGGACCAAGCGUUGUUCGGAUUUACUGGGCGUAAAGGGCGCGUAGGCGGCAUGACAAGUCACUUGUGAAAUCUCCGGGCUUAACUCGGAACGGUCAAGUGAUACUGUCGCGCUAGAGUGCGGAAGGGGCAAUCAGAAUUCUUGGUGUAGCGGUGAAAUGCGUAGAUACCAAGAGGAAUACCUGAGGUGAAGACGGGUUGCUAGGCCGACACUGACGCUGAAGCGCGAAAGCCAGGGGAGCAAACGGG
rnacentral:rRNA from 1 species